UGGUGAAUUUUGGACAAUGGGCGCAAGCCUGAUCCAGCCAUUCCGCGUGCAGGACGAAGGCCUUCGGGUUGUAAAGCACUUUUAUCUGGAGCGAAAUCUGCAGGGCUAAUACCCAUGCAGUCUGACGGUACCAGAGGAAUAAGCACCGGCUAACUUCGUGCCAGCAGCCGCGGUAAUACGAAGGGUGCAAGCGUUACUCGGAAUUACUGGGCGUAGAGCGUGAGUAGGUGGUUUCUUAAGUCUGCUGUGAAAGCCCCGGGCUCAACCUGGGAAUUGCAGUGGAUACUGGGAAGCUAGAGUGCGGUAGAGGGUAGUAGAAUGCCCGGUGUAGCGGUGAAAUGCGUAGAGAUUGUGAGGAACACCAGUGGAGAAGGCAAUCCCAUGGGCCUGCACUGACGCUCACGCACGAAAGCGGGGGGAGAAAACC
rnacentral:rRNA from 1 species